GUCGUGGUGGCCGAGUGGUUAAGGCGUUUCACUCGAAAUCAAAUGGGCUCUGCCCGCAGAGUUUCGAUUCUUGUCCACGACA
rnacentral:tRNA from 1 species